rnacentral:rRNA from 1 species
UACGAAGGGUGCGAGCGUUAAUCGGAAUUACUGGGCGUAAAGCGCGCGUAGGUGGUUUGUUAAGUUGGAAGUGAAAGCCCCGGGCUCAACCUGGGAAUUGCUUUCAAAACUGACGGGCUAGAGUACGGUAGAGGGUAGUGGAAUUUCCUGUGUAGCGGUGAAAUGCGUAGAUAUAGGAAGGAACAUCAGUGGCGAAGGCGACUGCCUGGACUGAUACUGACACUGAGGUGCGAAAGCGUGGGGAGCAAAC